AUUCUCUUCCUUCUUUUAUCGAUGGUUUCCUUUUGUGAAUGUCCCUUUUUCCUCAUUCUCGGUUUGCAAAGAAUUUUCCUUUUCUUCUUUUCAUUGUGAAUGUUCUUAUCUUCUUUUACAUAUGUUUUGUUUCCUUUUCUGUGAAUGUCUGUUUUUGUCAAUGUUGUGUGCGCACUGUUGUGUCUACUCGUGUUGUUUUUCUGUACAUUUUCUGUGGUGUUAUGUUAUUUUUUCUCCCCAAUUAUGUUGUUGUCGUCUUUUUCAUAGUGACAGCAAAAAAGAGGCAGAGAAGAGGAGGCGACAACACAGGAUGAGAAGAGGCAGAGAAGAGGAGGCGACCACACAGAUUUCACACAUAGUUUUAACUAUGGAGUCUACGAAGGAUCUUGUGUUUGAUCUGGUAUUGUUGGAAACUAAGAAAGUUUUUGUGUAUUUAGUAGCACUGAUCUA